rnacentral:sRNA from 1 species
CAUCACUAGAGGUCACAAUUGGGCAACACUUUUUGUUUACUUUCGCCAAAGUUUAAACUUUUCGGUGAUUUCUGAGCGGUGAAGUGCAUGUACAGCAUCGGCGUGAAUUGUGCUAGGAUCGGGAAAGGAUAUUGGAACUGGCGAGGAGGUGAAGGAGCAGCAAGGAUACAACUACUACUACAACUACUCUUUGGCAACGAAUCCUGAUACUAAGACUAUGUAGUACAGUGGAACAUCUAUCAUCUAACAUCAACGAACAACAACAACACCGAGGUGCCCUUAGACAAUCUCUAUUUCUACAAGAAAAAAAAAAAACCAAAACAAAAACUAAUUAAAUGAAAUUGAUAACUGCCGAUUUUUGAACUGACAAUAAAAAUAAACAACAAAACAAACGCAACAACAAGGAUAACAAAUAAACCAAGGAACCAACUAAAAAA